rnacentral:rRNA from 1 species
GGUAAGGUGAUAUGAACCGUUGUAACCGGCGAUUUCCGAAUGGGGAAACCCAGUGUGAUUCGUCACACUAUCAUUAACUGAAUCCAUAGGUUAAUGAGGCGAACCGGGGGAACUGAAACAUCUAAGUACCCCGAGGAAAAGAAAUCAACCGAGAUUCCCCCAGUAGCGGCGAGCGAACGGGGAGCAGCCCAGAGCCUGAAUCAGUGUGUGUGUUAGUGGAAGCGUCUGGAAAGGCGCGCGAUACAGGGUGACAGCCCCGUACACAAAAAUGCACAUAUUGUGAGCUCGAUGAGUAGGGCGGGACACGUGGUAUCCUGUCUGAAUAUGGGGGGACCAUCCUCCAAGGCUAAAUACUCCUGACUGACCGAUAGUGAACCAGUACCGUGAGGGAAAGGCGAAAAGAACCCCGGCGAGGGGAGUGAAAAAGAACCUGAAACCGUGUACGUACAAGCAGUGGGAGCACGCUUAGGCGUGUGACUGCGUACCUUUUGUAUAAUGGGUAAGCGACUUAUAUUCUAUAG